rnacentral:rRNA from 1 species
UACGAAGGGGGCUAGCGUUGCUCGGAAUUACUGGGCGUAAAGCGCACGUAGGCGGCUUCUAAGUCGGGGGUGAAAUCCUGGAGCUCAACUCCAGAACUGCCUUCGAUACUGGAAAGCUCGAGUCCGGAAGAGGAGUGUGGAAUCCUGGUGUAGCGGUGAAAUGCGCAGAAUAUCAGGAGGAACACCAAUGGCGAAGGCAGCACUCUGGGACGUGACUGACGCUGAGACGCGAAAGCGUGGGGAGCAAACAGGG